GAUGAACGCUGGCGGCGUGCUUAACACAUGCAAGUCGAACGAAGCACUUUAUUUGAUUUCCUUCGGGACUGAUUAUUUUGUGACUGAGUGGCGGACGGGUGAGUAACGCGUGGGUAACCUGCCUUGUACAGGGGGACAACAGUUGGAAACGGCUGCUAAUACCGCAUAAGCGCACGGCAUCGCAUGAUGCAGUGUGAAAAACUCCGGUGGUAUAAGAUGGACCCGCGUUGGAUUAGCUAGUUGGUGAGGUAACGGCCCACCAAGGCGACGAUCCAUAGCCGACCUGAGAGGGUGACCGGCCACAUUGGGACUGAGACACGGCCCAAACUCCUACGGGAGGCAGCAGUGGGGAAUACUGCACAAUGGGCGAAAGCCUGAUGCAGCGACGCCGCGUGAGCGAAGAAGUAUUUCGGUAUGUAAAGCUCUAUCAGCAGGGAAGAUAAUGACGGUACCUG
rnacentral:rRNA from 1 species